UCCUACGGGGAUGCAGCAGUGGGGAAUAUUGGACAAUGGGGGGAACCCUGAUCCAGCCAUGCCGCGUGUGUGAAGAAGGCCUUAUGGUUGUAAAGCACUUUAAGCGAGGAGGAGGCUACUUUGGUUAAUACCUAAAGAUAGUGGACGUUACUCGCAGAAUAAGCACCGGCUAACUCUGUGCCAGCAGCCGCGGUAAUACAGAGGGUGCGAGCGUUAAUCGGAUUUACUGGGCGUAAAGCGUACGUAGGCGGCUUUUUAAGUCGGAUGUGAAAUCCCUGAGCUUAACUUAGGAAUUGCAUUCGAUACUGGGAAGCUAGAGUAUGGGAGAGGAUGGUAGAAUUCCAGGUGUAGCGGUGAAAUGCGUAGAGAUCUGGAGGAAUACCGAUGGCGAAGGCAGCCAUCUGGCCUAAUACUGACGCUGAGGUACGAAAGCAUGGGGAGCAAACAGGAUUAGAUACCCUGGUAGUCCAUGCCGUAAACGAUGUCUACUAGCCGUUGGGGCCUUUGAGGCUUUAGUGGCGCAGCUAACGCGAUAAGUAGACCGCCUGGGGAGACUUCACGC
rnacentral:rRNA from 1 species